rnacentral:rRNA from 1 species
GUUUUCUUUGCUUUUAUAUAGAUUAUGUGUGUUUAUUUAUAUUUAAAAAUAGGUCAAAUUUUUUUAUUUAAGUUUUAAAUAUUCAUUUUUGUAUAAAAUUUAUGUUUGUGACAGGGAUUAGAUACCCCACUAACGUAUUUUGUAGUAUUAUCUUAGUUUAUUAACUAAAAUGGUUUGGCAGUGAGUGAUUCUUUUUAGGGGAAGGUGUGGUGUAAAGGAUGUUCCGCCUAUUAAUUUACUUUUAUUACGUUGGUGUAUAUCUGGUUUAAUAUUAUUGUUGAAUAAUAUUAGUUUGUGUAAUUUUAUUAGUUAAGCCAAGUCUAUGUGCUGCUUAUAGAAGUAUUCAUGCGUUACUUUAAUAAAGUUUUAGUUGUAAGUACUAUCAUAUUCAGGACUUAAAAGUAAUGUUAAAUUAGUUUGUUAAUGUGAAAUAAGUUUAGCUCAU